AGAGAAGAACAAAUAAAAAGAAAAAAGGAAAACAAAAAUGUAGGGGAAGCUGUAGCCACGCCUUCUUAGGGGCUGGCUACAAGAGUACCUGAGGGCUUGUGAGGGCGUGGUCAGAGUGAGUAGGGGGACUGCGUUUUCGGUUUCGGUUUCUCUUUGCUUCUUGCUGUACAGACUACCACCGGCUGGCUGGUUCGCUCUGUAAGUAAGGCUUUUCCCUAUUAAAUACCCUUAUAUUUCUACCUGACUCCGUAUUGGUAAUUUCUUACUAUAUCUGGUGUCAGAAGCGGGAUAUUGGAAACCCACACCCCAUUUGGGACAGGCUGUGGGUUCCAUCGGGCCCGCUGCCUAGGCCCGGAAAGCACCCUCUUUCCACAGGCGUUCCUGGCUAGCAGCCGACCCACUGCUGCUGAGCUGCUCAGAACCAUCCACCCAGCUCAGAGACAGUUUCUAGCUGCCUAGAGUCCAGGUAGGCCUCUGCUUUCAGCUGUGGCUUCCCCUGGCCUGCGGGAAAGCCCGAAUCUGUUUCAGUGGUUGUAGCCGCAAGGCCGUAUACUCUCUAAGAUAAGCGCAGCCGCUUUUGUGACCUCUCUCCACCGCUGACCGACUGCUGCCAAACGCCUCGGAAUAACUGAACGCCUGUGCUACCUGCUGAUCAAAUAUAUUUACUGCAUCUGGAGUAGAAAUCAGGUAAAAUUAUGGCGGAAUAUUUAUCAUUUGCUAAAAUUGGUAAUAUUUUUGCUUAUUACGUGAAUUCACUGUUUGAGGAGGAUGUUAAUGUGCCAAUUACUGGCCUAUAUGCCAUAAUGGCAGUUAGCUUGCUGGUACAAAUAGUAUUACUAGCCAGAGGACACAGGAAUAGGGAUAAGGAUAACCUCACCACCUGCUUGCAGGAAAUAACAGCUUUACGAUUAGGUCAGACCACAAUUGUGCAGCAAGUGGAACAGAAAUUGGAUGAUAAGCUUGGCUCUGUGUCCAAUACACUAAAGACAGAGCUGUCUGAUGAGAUACAGCGUACUUAUGAUAAGAUAAACACUGAGAGAUCCUCCAUGUCUGAGGCCUUAGAGGCUAGGCUGUCAGAAGACCAUGACCAGCUAAAGAAUAUCUGUAGCCAGCUAGAAACUCAGAUAGGCAAUGUUACUCAUCAACUAGAUGCAACGGUGCAAAAUACCCAGCAUAGGGUUGAAGAAUUGGACAAUGCCAUUCAAUCAGUCAUUGAAGCAUCCAAGGUAGCAGAUCAGAAGUUUGAGUCUAGAUUUGAAUGUUUGGAAGAUAAUUUACAGUACAGGGCUGACAGAUUACAUAGGUCCAUACGGUCGAUUGCUGAGGACUCAAAAUCAGCAAAUCAUGACCUGGAAUCUAGACUCCAAUACCUAGAAGGCAGUUUCCAUGCCAUCCAGAUGCUGUCUAAGGAUGAUCGUAUGAAAGACCUAGAAAAACGUGUAGAUGAGCAGUUAGAGCAAUUUACAGAUUCACUAACGUGCUUAGAAUCUUUUAUGAUUAAGGAGAUUGAAACUUUUCAAAAGGAUAUCAUUGCUAGGCUUAAAGAUCAGUGGGAUGCCUCAGAAGCAGAAUCACUCCAAUCCCAGGCACCUACUCCACCCAGGUAUCGUGACUAUUCUUCUAAGGUUGUUACUCGUACACCAUUAGUGUACCCAGCUACCAUGGUAGAAAAGCCAGCUUCUAAAAAACACCCUCAUGGACGAAUGGUUUAUGAAUGGCAACCUAUACAGCCAAAGGAUCUUAAGAAUAUUAAAGAAUCAGUUGUCUCAUAUGGUCUCCAUAGCCCAUACGUAAAACAGCUAUUACAUUCAUGGGCAACCUUUAACAGGGUGACACCCACAGAUUGGGAACGAUUGGUAGCAGCUGUACUUGAGAAUUCAUGCCAAAUCCAGUGGAAGGCAUUGGUAAGGGAAGAGGCAAAGCUCCUUGAACGUCAGGGCAUAAAGGAAGGUUUUGAAGCGCCUCUAGAUAAGCUUCUUGGUCAGGGUAUUUAUGCUGACCCACAGGUUCAGGCUGAAUAUGAUGAAGAUAUACUGUCUCUUUGCAGGAAAGCAGCAUUAAAUGCCUGGGA
rnacentral:lncRNA from 1 species